GGAGAGAUGGCUGAGUGGUUAAGGCACCGGGCUAAAGAUCCGGCCACGUAGGUUCGAUUCCUGCUCUCUCCGCCA
rnacentral:tRNA from 1 species